rnacentral:rRNA from 1 species
UAUUGUGUACAUUCCUAUAGUGUUAAUGCAUUGGAUCCCAUAAGAACUAUGUAGUUAAGUAUGCUUGGGCCAAAGUAGUAUUAGGAUGGGUGACCUCCCGGGAAGUCCUGGUGUUUUAUAUGC